ACGAACGCUGGCGGCAGGCUUAACACCUGCAAGUCGAACGCAUGCCUUCGGGCAUGAGUGGCAGACGGGUGAGUAACGCGUGGGAACCUACCCCUUGGUACGGGAUAGCUCCGGGAAACUGGAGAUAAUACCGUAUGUGUCCUGAGGGACAAAGAUUCAUCGCCAAGGGAUGGGCCCGCGUCGGAUUAGCUAGUUGGUGGGGUAACGGCCUACCAAGGCGACGAUCCGUAGCUGGUCUAAGAGGAUGAUCAGCCACAUUGGGACUGAGACACGGCCCAAACUCCUACGGGAGGCAGCAGUGGGGAAUAUUGGACAAUGGGCGCAAGCCUGAUCCAGCCAUGCCGCGUGAGUGAUGAAGGCCCUAGGGUUGUAAAGCUCUUUCACCGGUGACGAUAAUGACGGUAACCGGAGAAGAAGCCCCGGCUAACUUCGUG
rnacentral:rRNA from 1 species